UGGUUCGAGGAACACGGACAGGUCCAGGUCACAGCACGGUGGUUCGAGGCACACGGACAGGUCCAGAUCACGGCACGGUGGUUCGAGGCACACGGACAGGUCCAGGUCACGGCACAGUGGUUCGAGGCACACGGACAGGCAUGACAGGUCACAACGUACUGAUGCCUACAGAUGUGAUGAAAGAUCCCGGCACAGUGAUCUUACCAGCCCCCCCUAUGACGGGCCAAGGCAUGAUGCAGUGACAGAUCUAAAAUGGACAUUCCCAUUGCCUACGGAUGUGUUUCAGAAAAAGGUCUUAACCCUGCUGUUUGACCUGCGC